UCCCUGGUGGCUCAGACAGUAAAGCUUCUGCCUGCAAUGCAGGAGACCUGGGUUUGAUUCCUGGGUUGGGAA
rnacentral:tRNA from 1 species